rnacentral:lncRNA from 1 species
AAGAUAUGCGUGGCAAAAAAAGAAAGAGGAAGAAGGUAAACGGGUCAAAGAAUAUCUACGUUGCUUCUACAAUUCUCUAUUAUUGACAGCUUCUUCUUUCCCCUUUCUCUCUCGACUUCUAACAAUCGCAUAAUCUCCGAUCAUCUUCUUCUUCUUCUCUCUUCUCCGUUAUUCCUCCCGAUUCUGCGAUUUCUCAGCUUACAUGAUGACUGGAAACCCGAUCCCAGUCAAUCUCUCUAAGGAGGGUUCUUCGUCUCCAGGUAUUUAUAAAAUUCCUUCUUGAGCUAGGAUUUUGUUUGAUUCAUCGCUUUCUGUGUUUGAUUUUUUACAUAUUUCCUGCUCUCUAUAGCUUUAUUUCAUCAUCGGUCUCUGGUGUCGAAUUUGUUUCCGGCUCUUGUCAAGUAGUUUGGGACCUUAAUACCUUCAAAUCCGUUAUCUCGUAGGGAUUACAAAGAAAUCGCAACGAGCUGAUUUAGAAGAAUUCGAUUGAAUAAAUCAAACAUGCUAGAUCGAAGAUGAAUGAAAUCCGCUGCAAAUUGCAAGGGGGUUAGUGUUUUCUCUACCUUCUCUUAUGUCUUCUGCUAUGAAUGCAUCAUCUGAUUAGCUCCUCGUUAGCAUGUUGAUGAUCACCUUAAGCCUGCUAUGACCGCAUUGAAGGAUUUGUGGAACUUAUUUCUACGAGAAACCAGGUGCUUCUUUUGCUAAACGCAGUGUUUUUGUUAUGCAAAUUCAGAUUUUAUUGUGCAAUGUAAUAUGCAUGUUAUGGUCAAGGAUACUUUGAGCAUGCAUCUCAACAAGGCUACAUACACGUUAACCUUACAGUAUGCAUUGUCAUGGCAGGUCUAGUUAUCUCUUGGAGGUAAACUCAGCAACAUUUACAUGGUCAAUCAUAGUCACAGGUUACACUCUCUAAAACAAAUACUUGUGCUUACAACCAAAAUCCUACUUUCCAUUCCCUAACAAAUUUAAUUUUCAUACAUUUUCCUGACACCAAUUUAGAAGAAACUCACUAUUCCAUCUUCUGAGCAACCUCUUUGUCAGCCGAGCACAUUGUUUCUUCUUAAAUCCAGAGUCCUUUGGGUUUCAUGACCACAGAAUCCUGAGUAACAUACAGCUUUUCUCUCAUCCCUGUGGCAUUGGAUGAUCAUGCGAAUAUGGUGGAUCUCCAUCUGAUGAGUUACAAGCAGAUAAAUCAAUUAUAGAUUCAACAUGAGGAAGAAGUAUGCAAUCGAGGUUCAAGAAGCUGGG